rnacentral:lncRNA from 1 species
UAUUAAACAGGGCUGGCCCCAAAACCAACCUCUGGGGAACACCACUGAUAUGACCAGUUGCCAGCUGAAUCCAACUCUAUUUACUCUGAACCCAGCCCUCCAGCCAAUUUUACCCAGCAAAGAGUGAAUGACUGAGCCCAGAGACCCUCACCCUGGCACCAAGGCCAUUCCAGACUGCGUGGGGCUGGGAGAAGGGGUGUGAUCGGCCUGCCUGCAGCAUGAGGAAUGUUUCUAGUGGAGGAAGGAUUAAUGCCUUGGUAUAGCCUCUAUUUUCAGAAGGUUAAACACAAAUAGCAAAAAGAAGAAUCAUAUUACUAAGAUAAUAUUGGACAGGGUCAAGGGAAAAGGAAAAGUGUGGGCCUCUCACCCACAGUCACAAGGAACAUUUGCAAACUGUUCAGAAUCAAGAUCCAAGGAAGGACAGUUUAAUCAGGUACUUAGCAAUGAAAAGAGCAGACCCAUCCAAGGAUUUCUGGAAUAGCUCAUGGCCCUCAUUCUGUCAUUAUGCCUGCCCUGAUCCUAACAAACUACAAGAACACGUAUAGAAGAGAAGCACUGCACGCAUGCCAGAUGAUGGAGGCACUUGUCAGAAGGAUGAGGAGGACAAAGACGGGGAUCGUGGCAGAAAAGGGGAACUUCCAUUCCCCUGGUGAAACAGAAAAACACAAAAGCAAAUUUCCUGAAGGUGAUAUAUUUUAUGCUAAUAAUGGACACUUAUGGUCAGCUUUUCUUUCUGCAAUCUCUGAAAUUGUUAUGGCUCAAGAUCCUAUUCUUCCAGAGAAAAGGAUGACAGACAUGCCUAAGACCAGCCUCUGAGUCAGAAACGUUAGAAAUGAUUGAUGAUACCAGCCAGUGCCUUAAUUAGAGCAGGUAAAAAAUGAGGCUUUAUUGACUUUUCUUUUUUCUUCCAGGAGAAAUUUGAAAAUUCCCAAGGCUUUAGUGGUAGCAUAACUCAAGUACAAUAAUUCAGGAUUUUCAGGAAACAUCUUAGGGCUGGGUAUUUUCAAUGAAAACAUUGCUACAGAAGGCAGAAACCUUUCACUUGAAAAUCCAAAUCCAAACAAUUUAAUAGAAAGCCUUUUUUUUUUUCCUUUUGAAAAGCUAAUUUUGAUGGAAUUCUUUGAUAUUCUGUAACCUCAUCUGAUAUCUUAACACAUCCUUCCUCAGGAAGGUCAUACCUUCGUAGUUUAACUGCAUGCACACUGGCUGGGAGAAUUUGCUGUGCUUGAAGUCAAUGCUUUGGAUGGAGGAUCUGGCAUUGAAGCAGUAAUUGCCUCUGAGUGCAGUGGUGUCGAUAGUCACUGCCUUCUUCCUAAAGAUACUUUUGUAUUGCUUCUGUUUGGAAACAAAAGGAACAGAGGGUUAGAAAGAUGACUCUUCCAUUUUGGGGAUGAUGUUUCUCUACCCUUUUUGCCAUGACUCUCAUCAUCCUGUUUCCAUGGCGCCAGUGGUUGGAAGGUGUGAAGAGAGGCACUUGCCUUGCUCGUUAUUUGUAGUAAGCAUCUCUUCAUGUCUGUACUAUGCUCUUUGCUGCCACAGCUAUGCUGUUAGCAGCACCCAAACUAGCUGUUCUAAACCUUCGAUUUUUCUCUGACUGUUCAGUUGCCUCUGAACAUAGCAUCUAAACAGAUAAAAAUAGAAAUAGAGUAAGAAACGGAACUACCAAUAAAGCAAAGAUGCUGAAUGUAACACACUCAUUUCUUUUCCAGCUUUAGUUAACUCUGGUUUGACCAUUUCAGUUUCUCUAGGCCGGGCUCCAGUCACUCCCUGCAUAGAUAUUUGCAGCUAUUUCAUUUCAGCUGAGCACCAUUCCUCUGUUUCAUCUAAGCAGUACUGCUUCUACUGACCUUGUCUUCAGAUCCGGCUUCCCAAAGGUUGAAGUCAUACAUCCAAGGUAAACUCUCCACACAGAUGGCCAUAGGAAAAGUGGCAUUCACAUGGAUUACGUUCUCCUUUACAUUCACGUUUAGCAGUGGGGGAGCCAGUUCCACUAUAAUUGAGUGACCAGACAUAAGAACAGUGCUUGCUGACAUCGUAGUUUCACAGAAGUAAUGUUUUAUUUGUCUGAUCUAAACUUCUAGCUGAUAUCUUGUGGGGGACAUGAAGGAAGGAGGAGGGCAAAGCAACAUCUCUUUUUUUAAUGUAACAUACCCCCAGUGAUACUGUCUUUCUGUUGUGAUGAGCUUGAAACCAGUUCAUUCACCUAGAGCACUGAUGAAACAAAUUCUGAUACCGGCUACAAAACUUAAUUUCAAAUCAUCAUGGCUCAUUGUUGCUUGUGCCCACUCAAUUCUGGCAUUCAUAAAGCUUCAUGUUUCUCUUUCUGCCAUGUGUGGUUUAACUAAUUUGCUCAUGCAAACACUGUUGCUGGGAUGUCCUUCCAGCCAGGCUGUACCUAAGAGACACUCACCAUCUAAGUGGUAUUCCUUGAACUGUGAUUUUACCCAUGGUGAAUGGAAUCGUCCAGAAGUCGCUUUCACUUGAGCCCGGAAUUUAAUGAAGAAGUUUGGAAUCACACACGUCAGGUUGCAAGAGACACUGUGAAUAUUUCUGCAAUGGGGAACCUUUAUCCAUUUGUCCAUACGUGUUUUGCUAAAACAAGAAACAAAUAUGCCAUAUCAAACAUCUGUUGUUAUAAUUUAUACAGCAAGUGAAGGAAGUGCUUUUCUGGAUUGAUGCUGAAUCUUGCUGAAAGUUUAGAGCACUUUCCAGACAGAAAAGGAUUGACUUUGGUGAAAGAAUGCAGUCAAACCACGAUCAUAAUGACUGAUUAAGCACACCCACAGAUGUUUGCCCUGUGCAGUACGUCCUAUUAGACUCCCUUUGUAAGCACUCACCUUUCAUACCUCACAGUGUACAACACAUCUGGUGGAGAUCCUUCUCCUGGAGUCCAUGUCAAAAUCAUAUCAAAAUCCUUUGACAGUAAUGUAACAUUCUGAGGAGGAGGAAGUUGACCAUGAACUGAUCAGAAAGGAAAAUUAAGUGAAUUAUUAAACAUUGCUUUGGAAAUAGGAAAUAUCACCUAUUGUUGACAAAGGUGGUUUCAAAAUUUGGGGCACAGCAGCUCAAUUCACUUACGACUACAAACUGUAAGCUAUCUGGGGAAACAGGCAUGUUUGUGAUGUUGUUGAGUUUUCCUCACCUCACCACAGAACAUCUCAACAGCUGUAAGAAUUAGGACAGAAAUGUGUGUGAGCCAUCCAAUUCUGUAAUUGGAGCAGCAUCCCCCAUAGCCUCACUGGAUUCUCCUGUGAUCUGUUUCACAACCCCACAAACUCCAGCCUGACCCCCUUGCUCUCUCACCUCCUGGACCUCAGAUCAGGCACACACUACUGGGUCACUCCAUCCACCCUCUUCCAACUCAUAAAGGCAGACAUGUCACAAGUACAGCAGGAUGCAGCAUGCAGGCUCGCUGCUUGUACUUUCUGGCAGCAGUUGUUUCCGGUAAAUGAACAUGUACCAGUAAAUAAACAUGUGUCUUCAACAAGACACAUUCUUGUCAGAUAGCUGGUACUGCAAUCCAGAGAGGUUGUGGGUGCCCCAUUCCUCAAGGUGCCCAAGACCAUGGAUAGGCCCCUGGGCAGCCUGAGCUGGUGGGGGGCAACUAGCCCACAGCAGGGGGUUGGAGCAGGAUGGUCUUUAGGGUCCCCUCCAACCUCAGCCAUACCACGAUUCUUUGAUUUUAAAUCGCCAUUCCUUUACAGUGAAAUGUUUUACUUGAUGAAAAUCAUUCCCAUCCUCACUGCUUUCAACAUGUUGUCCGUGUCUUCCCUCCCACAAGCAAAGCCACAUAGCCCAGCAAAGCGAAAGUGACAAAGCCAUGACGUACCUCUGGGCUGCCACAGGAAGCACAGAGUUGCCAGCACUCUGAUUCUCCAUGCAGACAUGCUGAAGCAGAACUUUUCCACAUGUAAUUUAUUUCUUUCCUUGCUACCUUUUCAUUGUAUUGUUUUCCUGUACCAAGUUGUAUGGAUGGUGGAGGAAUAUGUGGUUAAUUACUGACACGCAUGUGUACAGCUUCACUUCCUUGUGCAGCCCAAACGUGGCACGACUCAUCAAACUGAAGAGGGAGCAGCGGUGAGACUGCUUGGGAUGAAAGCAGAAACGCUGCAAAGAUUGUGGCACAACGCCCUCCACUGUAACAGAGCUGAUCUCUGGUACGGGCUGCAUGAGAACAGAACAUGGCAUGAGCCCUCUCCUCUGAGGCACCUCAUAAAAAGUGACCUUUGGAAUUCACCUGCGUGGUUGUCAAAUAUUUAUAGAAAUCAAAUAACAUUUUACUGCAUGAGAUACCUGAUAAUAACCUAGCAGGUAUAGAAACUUGUUAGCAGCAGUAUGUAAAGUUAUGUCAGCCUCGUGCUUAUGAAGAGCCAGUGUAUGUUACCAGGCCAAGAGUACGUUUUACAAGGUACAGAAUGACCCC